AUGAAAACAAGGCUGAAGAGAGCGGCGUGUUUAGAGCAGGAGGUUUUUGUACAGCCAGUAAACCAGUUUGUAUCACUGUGGUACACUUUUGGUGGAGGAACCAAACUGUCAGUUGGAAGUGUGGCCGCGCCCACCCUCACGGUCCUGCCCCCCUCCAGCGUGGAGCUGCAGCAGGGGAAGGCCACACUCGUGUGUUUGGCCAACAAGGGCUUCCCCUCAGACUGGAGGCUGAGCUGGAAGGUGGACGGGAGCAUCUGGAGCUCGGGGGUUAGCCAGACCCCCGGGCUUCUGCAGAAGGACGACGGCCUCUACAGCUGGAGCAGCAUCCUGAUCCUCCAGGAGGACCAGUGGCUAAAGAAGACAGUGACCUGUGAGGCCACCAAGGACUCCCAGACUCCUGUCAGCCAAACCCUGAGGAGAGAGCAAUGCACUGGGCAGUGAGCGUGUGUUGGAGCUGCUAGAGCUCCUCUUGAUCUUCAGUGAGCUCAAUCAUGGCUCUGCUUAAUGCUCUGAUCUUCAUCAUCACUUCAUCAUCA